rnacentral:rRNA from 1 species
UGGGGAAUCUUCCGCAAUGGACGAAAGUCUGACGGAGCAACGCCGCGUGAGUGAUGACGGCCUUCGGGUUGUAAAGCUCUGUGAUCGGGGACGAAUGGCUGGUAUGCUAAUACCAUAUCAGAGUGACGGUACCCGAAUAGCAAGCCACGGCUAACUACGUGCCAGCAGCCGCGGUAAUACGUAGGGAGCAAGCGUUGUCCGGAUUUACUGGGUGUAAAGGGUGCGUAGGCGGCUUUGCAAGUCAGAUGUGAAAUCUAUGGGCUCAACCCAUAAACUGCAUUUGAAACUGUAGAGCUUGAGUGAAGUAGAGGCAGGCGGAAUUCCCCGUGUAGCGGUGAAAUGCGUAGAGAUGGGGAGGAACACCAGUGGCGAAGGCGGCCUGCUGGGCUUUAACUGACGCUGAGGCACGAAAGCGUGGGUAGCAAACAGGAUUAGAUACCCUGGUAGUCCACGCUGUAAACGAUGAUUACUAGGUGUGGGGGGUCUGACCCCUUCCGUGCCGGAGUUAACACAAUAAGUAAUCCACCUGGGGAGUACGGCCGCAAGGUUGAAACUCAAAGGAAUUGACGGGGGCCCGCACAAGCAGUGGAGUAUGUGGUUUAAUUCGAAGCAACGCGAAGAACCUUACCAGGUCUUGACAUCCUACUAACGAGAUAGAGAUAUGUUAGGUGCCCUUCGGGGAAAGUAGAGACAGGUGGUGCAUGGUUGUCGUCAGCUCGUGUCGUGAGAUGUUGGGUUAAGUCCCGCAACGAGCGCAACCCUUGCUAUUAGUUGCUACGCAAGAGCACUCUAAUAGGACUGCCGUUGACAAAACGGAGGAAGAUGGGGACGACGUCAAAUCAUCAUGCCCCUUAUGACCUGGGCUACACACGUACUACAAUGGACAUCAACAGAGGGAAGCAAUACAGUGAUGUGGAGCAAACCCCUAAAAAUGUUCUCAGUUCAGAUUGCAGGCUGCAACCCGCCUGUAUGAAGAUGGAAUUGCUAGUAAUCGCAGAUCAGCAUGCUGCGGUGAAUACGUUCCC